rnacentral:lncRNA from 1 species
UGCAGCCCCUGCAGUUACUGUGCCAUCCUUUUGACACAACACGAGCAGACAUGCAAUGGGCUCAGUCCCAGGGAUACCCCAUGCCAGCACACAACGGGUCAUGUUUACUGCCGCUGGUGAUGCUGGGGCUGGCUCCUUCCCACCUGCUGAAGGCACUUCGCCGUCCCUUUGGAGCAGCGUGUUGUGGCUCAGCUCUCCUGAGCAGCCCUGCAAGCUCUGGAGUUUGUCGUGAAGGUUUUCUGCACUGUGAAAGGCCGGGCCUGGCUGCACCCAGCUCCAGGGCUCUUUUCCACUUUCCUGCACAACACUUGGUGUCAGGCUAUGAUUCCUGCACUACUUCCACCAAUUUGAGAGUAACUGGAUGCUUUCAGCCCUGGGUCUUGUUCUUGGUGCGUGUCCAUCCUGUCUGUUACAGCAAGGUCUGUGUGUGAUGAGCUGCCCUGUUCCCCCUUGGGGCUUGCAUGGGGACACCCUGCAGCACCAGAUGUUAAUGGCACUGCGUGGGGACAGCAAAACCUGGAUGAAGAGACUGGAGUCCAUCAACCAGGCGGAAGGCGAAGAGGCCGAGCUUCAGCUGCACACACAGCAGGAGGGACGGGGAAUGCGCCGGGAGCGAGAUGCAAACAGACCCAGCGAGGGGGUAAAGCAGAGGCGUCGCAGAGGGGCUGGAAGAGAAAAUGGUUUCCUUGGGAAAAGGCUGGCAAGCCUCAGCUGGAAAGAGACAGCGAGGAAGAGAUGGGAGAGCUCUGAGUAG